AUCACUUCUUGGCCUUUUGGCUAGGAUCAAAUGUAGUAUCUGUUCUUAGCAGAUUAAAGCAUACUUCAGUGAUGCUAAAACUUCCAUAUUCGUUUUCUUUGAAGAUGCCAUAUUAAAAACUGAUCACCAGCCAAGUCAACAUUA
rnacentral:snRNA from 1 species